UGAUGUAUGCUAUGUGUGUGAUUGUUUCUCCUCCUCCCCAUUGCCGUGAAUGUAAGAAAGAAAACAAAAAAAAAGUGUCCAUCUUUUUCAUUUCUCUUGGCCGAAUGUUCUAAGGAAGAAAGAAAACAAGUUGUGUUCUUUGGUUCUUCUUGGCCGAAUUGAGAGGAGGAAGGAAGGAGUGAAGCAAUCGGUCAUCUUAGGUCGAUAUUAAGGUAAGGAAGUUGAUACUAGUUCUUGAAAUCCUAGUUGAUUUUGAGUGAGAUAUCAAG
rnacentral:lncRNA from 1 species